ensembl:rRNA 5S_rRNA 5S ribosomal RNA
GUCUAGGGCCAUACCACCCUUAAUCCACCCGAUCUCGUCUGAUCUCGGAAGCUAAGCCGGGUAAGGCCUGGUUAGUACUUGGGUGGGAGAAGUUUUUACAAAGUGUCCUGAGAAUAAUAAAAAAAGACCUGGGCU